CUAAUUUCAGGCUAAUGGAGAACCAGGAUUAUCACACAAAAACCCAGCCCCUGCAGCAACAUUUUGAGUGAGAGCUGGUAGGGGAGGCACAGAGAGCUUGUGGAUGGUGCAGGAAGAGAUGCUACAGCAGGAACUCAUUAUCAGUGCUGGGUUUUGCCCCUCAUUUUUGGCAUACCAUGGAACUGAAGGCUGGAGGAGCUCCUUGCACAUCAGACACCCCAGAUUAAAGCCCCAGUUCACUCUGCAGCUGCCAAACACAUCUGGGCCAGCACAGCAAUAGAGCCCCAGGCAUGGUCUGUGAGCUGACACUGCCCAGAAGAGCAGCUCAGAACUGCUCUGCUCCCAGAGUGAGCCAGUCCACAUCAGUGUUCCCAGGAAAUAUCCAGGCUGGGUGGGUGCAGGCAGCCCAGGUGCUGCAGGAAGAUUGCUUCUAAUUAGAAGCUGACUCCAGACCUGCACACCUGAUUUUUAACCUGUUCCCAAGGCAGGUGGAGCAGACCACGGAGUGCCAGCCUGGAACAGCCUGCACUCAGAUCAGGAUCAAAUAGGCUUUAUGAGAAUGCAGUUUAAGGGUGAAACUCUCCUUGACUGCUUCCACCUGAAUACAUAUUCAACCUGUUGGAGCUGAACAUCCAAGAUUUUAUUGUAUCCUUUCUUUUGGGUUAUUA